CUGAGGCGUGAUGGGGAAGGCCAUAUAGGCCGAAGUACAUGAUUCCAUGCUUCCAAGAAAAGCAUCUAGAGAGAGAAGUAGUGCCCGUACCGCAAACCGACACAGGUAGAUGGGGAGAGAAUCCUAAGGCCGGCGGAAGAAUUGCAGUUAAGGAACUAGGCAAAUUGACCCCGUAAGUUCGCGAGAAGGGGUGCCUGCGAGAGCAGGCCGCAGAGAAUAGGCCCAAGCAACUGUUUAGCAAAAACACAGGUCUCUGCUAAAGCGUAAGCUGAUGUAUAGGGGCUGACGCCUGCCCGGUGCUGGAAGGUUAAGGGGAACACUUAGCGCAAGCGAAGGUGUGAACUUAAGCCCCAGUAAACGGCGGCCGUAACCAUAACGGUCCUAAGGUAGCGAAAUUCCUUGUCAGGUAAGUUCUGACCCGCACGAAUGGCGUAAUGACUUGGGCACUGUCUCAACUGCAAAUCCGGCGAAGUUGUAGUGCGAGUGAAGAUGCUCGCUACCCGCGAUUGGACGGAAAGACCCCGUAGAGCUUUACUGUAGCUUAGCAUUGAAUUCCGGUAUUGUCUGUACAGGAUAGGUGGGAGACUGGGAAACUAGGGCGUCAGCCUUAGUGGAGUCAACCUUGGGAUACCACCCUGACAGUACUGGGGUUCUAACAGGACGCCAUGAAUCUGGUGACUGGACAUUGUUAGGUGGGCAGUUUGACUGGGGCGGUCGCCUCCUAAAAAGUAACGGAGGCGCCCAAAGGUUCCCUCAGAACGGUCGGAAAUCGUUCGUAGAGUGCAAAGGCAGAAGGGAGCCUGACUGCGAGACAUACAAGUCGAGCAGGGACGAAAGUCGGGCUUAGUGAUCCGGUGGUACCUCGUGGGAGGGCCAUCGCUCAACGGAUAAAAGCUACCUCGGGGAUAACAGGCUGAUCUCCCCCAAGAGUCCACAUCGGCGGGGAGGUUUGGCACCUCGAUGUCGGCUCGCCGCAUCCUGGGGCUGUAGUAGGUCCCAAGGGUUGGGCUGUUCGCCCAUUAAAGCGGCACGCGAGCUGGGUUCAGAACGUCGUGAGACAGUUCGGUCCCUAUCCGUCGCGGGCGUAGGAAAUUUGAGAGGAGCUGUCCUUAGUACGAGAGGACCGGGAUGGACUGACCUCUGGUGCACCAGUUGUUCCGCCAGGAGCAUGGCUGGGUAGCUAAGUCGGGAAGGGAUAAACGCUGAAAGCAUCUAAGCGUGAAGCCUCCCUCAAGAUGAGAUUUCCCAUAGCAUAAGCUAGUAAGACCCCUUGAAGAACACAAGGUUGAUAGGUCAGAGGUGUAAGUGCGGUAACGUAUUUAGCUGACUGAUACUAAUAGGUCGAGGGCUUGACC
rnacentral:rRNA from 1 species